rnacentral:tRNA from 1 species
GCGCGAUUAGCUCAGUGGGAGAGCGCUUCCCUGACACGGAAGAGGUCACAAGUUCAAUCCUUGUAUCGCGCACCAU